rnacentral:rRNA from 1 species
UACAGAGGGUGCUAGCGUUGUUCGGAAUCAUUGGGCGUAAAGGGCGUGUAGGCGGUUUGUUAAGUCAUGUGUGAAAUCCCUCGGCUCAACCGGGGAACGACGCAUGAAACUGGCAAGCUAGAGUACCAAAGAGGGGGGUGGAAUUCCCGGUGUAGCGGUGAAAUGCGUAGAUAUCAGGAAGAACACCCGUGGCGAAAGCGGCUCUCUGGAACGGUACUGACGCUGGGACGCGAAAGCGUGGGGAGCGAACAGG